rnacentral:rRNA from 1 species
GACGAACGCUGGCGGCGUGCUUAACACAUGCAAGUCGAACGAUGAAGCCGGAGCUUGCUCUGGUGAAUUAGUGGCGAACGGGUGAGUAACACGUGAGUAACCUGCCCUUGACUCUGGGAUAACUGCUAGAAAUGGUAGCUAAUACCGGAUACGACCCUCGGAGGCAUCUUCAGGGGGUGGAAAGAAUUUCGGUCAAGGAUGGACUCGCGGCCUAUCAGCUAGUUGGUGAGGUAAUGGCUCACCAAGGCGACGACGGGUAGCCGGCCUGAGAGGGUGGCCGGCCACACUGGGACUGAGACACGGCCCAGACUCCUACGGGAGGCAGCAGUGGGGAAUAUUGCACAAUGGGGGCAAGCCUGAUGCAGCAACGCCGCGUGAGGGAUGACGGCCUUCGGGUUGUAAACCUCUUUUAGUAGGGAAGAAGCGAAAGUGACGGUACCUGCAGAAAAAGCACCGGCUAACUACGUGCCAGCAGCCGCAGUAA